UUUCCGUAGGUGAACCUGCGGAAGGAUCAUUGUC
rnacentral:rRNA from 38 species